GAGAGAAAAGAAAGCCUGGAGUGCAAGGCACUAGUGGUUGUUGGGGGGCACCGACAGCACAAAGAAAGUGAACGGUGGACAUUUAUCAAAAGUUGAUCGACGUAUUCGACAAGGACUGUUGAAAGUUUAACUGGGAUAGUGUGUCGUUUGAGUGGACUACUCAAAUCACGCCAUAACGUGGUGGAGUUUGCCGCUACCACAGGGGCUAAGUGCAUGCACGGGACUUGGCUUGGGCGCGAGCAACCAGCUAACGCUAGCUAGCCAGGCCUGUGUAUUGGACCACGAAGGAAAGGGCAAGGGCGCUAGCGUCAAGCUAACGUGGUUAGCGAGGCUGUGUUUGGACUUCAAGGAAGAAAAAGGGACGAGGACCGUGAGGACGCCGUACAGAGGAAAAACCACCUUCACGUUUCUACACUCCUGCCUUGGGGAGCACCGCAGUGACAUUGGGCUCCCGUGGUUGGAGAGGCGGUCAGGUGGCGAUGACCUGCAUCUGAGUCUAGUGCUGUAUGGAUUCUGCACCGACUGACUGGGACAAGACCAGAAGUGGAUCACUUCCCGGGAGGUGUUUCUAUGGAGUAUUCUGCACUGACGAAUCGGUUCAGGUCCCGGGGAGUCAUUACUUUGCCGAAGGAGUCUUCUGUGGCACUAAAUGUUAUUAAAUUGAUUCUCUCUUUGAACUAACAUGGUAGAGCACCAUACCAUGUGAUAUGUUUGGUCCACACGGCAACCAAUGUAGCCUGGUGAUCCUGAAAGGGGGAACCCUCCAGCUAUUGUCUCUUUUCAAGGUUUCUUCUUUUUGUGAUGAAGGACGAUCAUUAUAACCCUUAUAUGGAUAAACUUGACUUGAUAUAAGCAGAGAUAUUUGCAAAUCUUGUAAAAUUUCUGCUCACUGAUAUUUGGAAUGAAUCAUUUCACAAGAGUUUGAUUUUCAUUGGCUUUUUUUGUGUUUUUGUCCCACCACAAAAAGGUCCUAGUCAUGGCAAAGAAAAGAAACAAUAAAACUGAUGCAGUAUUAGAGAACUAAGGAGGGAUGGGUGUAAGAUUCUCAAGAUUCUCAUCAAUGAAUUGAUUGUUGGUAAUUGUGUCUUGAAGCACGACUUGGCUGUAAGCAGCAGUGGCACUGAGUCUCAAUUUCAUUAAAUAAAGAUCCUAUUGAGCUUU